CCGUAGGACUGAGCCGCGACGGCGUAUUGGGUCUCUCCUUAGAGUCGGGUUGCUUGAGAGUGCAGCCCUAAGUGGGAGGUAAACUCCUUCUAAGGCUAAAUACGGCCACGAGACCGAUAGCGAACAAGUACCGCGAGGGAAAGUUGAAAAGAACUUUGAAGAGAGAGUUCAAUAGUGCGUGAAACCGUUCAGGGGGUUAAACGGGUGGGCCCUCGAAGGUCGAACGCUCUCUACUCGCGUCUCCGCUCGUCGGUCCGUGCCGCUUUUCCGAUCUCGCUACGGGACGGAGCGGUGCGGUAACUGGUGCGAGCGGGGGCGUUUAGUUAGAGGGCCAGUAGGACUCCGCAACCGUCUGGAGCAGUCGUCAGAAGGGCUCUGGUAGAAAGCCUCCUCGUGGGGUGGACUCCGGGGUUCCGGGCGAUCUCUCCGGCCGUGAACCGGCAUUCCACUCGGCUGGCGUUCGUGACGAGCUUCCCCUUCACGGGGGGAGUUGUCGGUUGCGGGCGUCACCGGGGGACGCUAGC
rnacentral:rRNA from 1 species